rnacentral:rRNA from 1 species
AACGAACGCUGGCGGCAUGCCUAACACAUGCAAGUCGAACGAGAUCUUCGGGUCUAGUGGCGCACGGGUGCGUAACGCGUGGGAAUCUGCCCUUUGGUUCGGAAUAACAGUUGGAAACGACUGCUAAUACCGGAUGAUGACGAAAGUCCAAAGAUUUAUCGCCAGAGGAUGAGCCCGCGUAGGAUCAGCUAGUUGGUGUGGUAAAGGCGCACCAAGGCGACGAUCCUUAGCUGGUCUGAGAGGAUGAUCAGCCACACUGGGACUGAGACACGGCCCAGACUCCUACGGGAGGCAGCAGUGGGGAAUAUUGGACAAUGGGCGAAAGCCUGAUCCAGCAAUGCCGCGUGAGUGAUGAAGGCCUUAGGGUUGUAAAGCUCUUUUACCCGGGAUGAUAAUGACAGUACCGAGAGAAUAAGCUCCGGCUAACUCCGUGCCAGCCGCCGCGGUAA